AGAGCGAACGCUGGCGGUAUGCUUAACACAUGCAAGUCGCACGGGCAGGGGAAACCCUGUCAGUGGCGGACGGGUGAGUAACGCGUAGGUAUCUAUCCUUGGGUGGGGGAUAACGGUUGGAAACGACUGCUAAUACCGCAUGAUAACUGAGGUUUAAAGGCGCAAGUCGCCUGGGGAGGAGCCUGCGUACGAUUAGCUUGUUGGUGGGGUAAAGGCCUACCAAGGCGACGAUCGUUAGCUGGUCUGAGAGGAUGAUCAGCCACAUUGGGACUGAGACACGGCCCAAACUCCUACGGGAGGCAGCAGUGGGGAAUAUUGGACAAUGGGCGAAAGCCUGAUCCAGCAAUGCCGCGUGUGUGAAGAAGGUCUUCGGAUUGUAAAGCACUUUCGACAGGGACGAUGAUGACGGUACCUGUAGAAGAAGCCCGGCUAACUUCGCGCCAGCAGCCGC
rnacentral:rRNA from 1 species